UACGGAGGGAGCUAGCGUUGUUCGGAAUUACUGGGCGUAAAGCGCGCGUAGGCGGCUUUGUAAGUUAGAGGUGAAAGCCCGGGGCUCAACUCCGGAACUGCCUUUAAGACUGCAUCGCUUGAAUCCGGGAGAGGUGAGUGGAAUUCCGAGUGUAGAGGUGAAAUUCGUAGAUAUUGGGAGGAACACCAGUGGCGCAAGCGGCUAUCUGGACUGACAUUGACGCUGAGGCACGAAAGCGUGGGGAUCAAACAGG
rnacentral:rRNA from 1 species